rnacentral:rRNA from 1 species
CAUCUAAGCAUGAAGCCCCCCUCGAGAUGAGAUUUCCCAUAGCGUCAAGCUAGUAAGAUCCCUGAAAGAUGAUCAGGUUGAUAGGUCAGAGGUGGAAGCGCGGUGACGUGUGGAGCUGACUGAUACUAAUCGAUCGAGGACUUAACCAA